UCAUUUUUUUAAACUAGCGGGGCAGCGAAAUCUUUGCUUUGUGCUAAAGUCAACAGUGGCAGAGUUUGAGCUCAAAUAAAUGCCGCUGUGCCUGGAGCACUUUGCAGAAGGCAGCGGGCGAGCAGCGGAUUCUCACGCCUUUCCUUUACAGCAGAUUACAGGUAUGGAUCAAUUUACAAAAGAUCAUCAGGUACAACCCUAACCCUUUAAACCUUGCUGGAAGUGCUAGCCUGCCAAUCAUCUCUCACAACACCUUCACCUGCAACUCAGCAGUCACGUCUGACCUGGCCGCGUAUGAGAGAUAACAUUCGCAUCUGCAGAGCUGAAAGGGGGACAAAAGGAAGUUUGACGUUAAUGAUUAACGGGGCUAAAAGCCCCUGCUUUUGUAUUCCCAUGGUACCGAGGCUAUCUGGUGGCCAUGUGACCUGCGUGGAGGAGAUUGGGGGUGAGCGGUAAAGCAAACACAGGUGCUGUGUUUGGGUUGGAGUCGCCUGCGCUGUCAGGGACAACCACAAACACACACAGCCAUGCCAAGCUCCACAAACAGCCGCCUACGCCAACAGAUCAAGUCCAAUGUGCUCCUCCCCAUCUUCCUAUAUGUUCCACAUCGGAAAAGUAUCUACCAUUUUUAGUUCAUUCUAGCUGGGGCAUCCUUAAAGAAAUAAAAAUACACAAUUGCCUUUUACCUGUAUAAUAAAAGCUAAUAAUAUAAAUACA